rnacentral:lncRNA from 10 species
AUGACCUACACAAAGGGAAAGAGGAGAGGUCACCAGACCUCUUAGACAACAUGGAGUUGUUCCUUUGGCCACAUACCUAUGAAUCUGUAAGAAGGUGAUAUUGUAGACAUCAAGGGGAUGGGCGCUGUUUAAAAGGAAUGCCCCCAGGUGUUACUGUGGCAGAACUGGAGGAGUCUAUGAUGCUACGCAGCUUGCUGUUGGCAUUGUUGUAAACAAACAGGUUAUGGGCCAGAUUCUUGUCAAGGGAAUUGAUGCGCAUAUUGAGUACACUAAGCACUCUAGGAGCCGAGAUAGCUUCCUGAAACUCGUGCAGAAAAUGAUCAGAAAAACAAGCCAGCCGGGCGCGAGAGAGGCACAUUUGUGAGAACCAUGGCGGGGAGCCUGAGCUGCUGGAAUCUUCUCCCUAUGAAUUCGUGGCAUAU